GACGAACGCUGGCGGCGUGCUUAACACAUGCAAGUCGAACGGUGAAAGCAGAGCUUGCUCUGCUGGAUCAGUGGCGAACGGGUGAGUAACACGUGAGUAACCUGCCCUUGACUCUGGGAUAAGCGUUGGAAACGACGUCUAAUACCGGAUACGAGCCCCAACCGCAUGGUUAGGGGUUGGAAAGAAUUUCGGUCAAGGAUGGACUCGCGGCCUAUCAGCUUGUUGGUGAGGUAAUGGCUCCCCAAGGCGACGACGGGUAGCCGGCCUGAGAGGGUGACCGGCCACACUGGGACUGAGACACGGCCCAGACUCCUACGGGAGGCAGCAGUGGGGAAUAUUGCACAAUGGGCGAAAGCCUGAUGCAGCAACGCCGCGUGAGGGAUGACGGCCUUCGGGUUGUAAACCUCUUUUAGUAGGGAAGAAGCGAAAGUGACGGUACCUGCAGAAAAAGCACCGGCUAACUACGUGCCAGCAGCCGCGGUAAUACGUAGGGUGCAAGCGUUGUCCGGAAUUAUUGGGCGUAAAGAGCUCGUAGGCGGUUUGUCGCGUCUGCUGUGAAAACUGGAGGCUCAACCUCCAGCCUGCAGUGGGUACGGGCAGACUAGAGUGCGGUAGGGGAGAUUGGAAUUCCUGGUGUAGCGGUGGAAUGCGCAGAUAUCAGGAGGAACACCGAUGGCGAAGGCAGAUCUCUGGGCCGUAACUGACGCUGAGGAGCGAAAGCGUGGGGAGCGAACAGGAUUAGAUACCCUGGUAGUCCACGCCGUAAACGUUGGGAACUAGAUGUGGGGACCAUUCCACGGUCUCCGUGUCGCAGCUAACGCAUUAAGUUCCCCGCCUGGGGAGUACGGCCGCAAGGCUAAAACUCAAAGGAAUUGACGGGGGCCCGCACAAGCGGCGGAGCAUGCGGAUUAAUUCGAUGCAACGCGAAGAACCUUACCAAGGCUUGACAUAUACGAGAACGGGCCAGAAAUGGUCAACUCUUUGGACACUCGUAAACAGGUGGUGCAUGGUUGUCGUCAGCUCGUGUCGUGAGAUGUUGGGUUAAGUCCCGCAACGAGCGCAACCCUCGUUCUAUGUUGCCAGCACGUUAUGGUGGGAACUCAUAGGAGACUGCCGGGGUCAACUCGGAGGAAGGUGGGGAUGACGUCAAAUCAUCAUGCCCCUUAUGUCUUGGGCUUCACGCAUGCUACAAUGGCCGGUACAAAGGGCUGCAAUACCGUAAGGUGGGGCGAAUCCCAAAAAGCCGGUCUCAGUUCGGAUUGAGGUCUGCAACUCGACCUCAUGAAGUCGGAGUCGCUAGUAAUCGUGAAUCAGCAACGUCACGGUGAAUACGUUCCCGGGCCU
rnacentral:rRNA from 1 species